UCAGUGAAAACCACGUGAUCAUCCACGCGAGCGGUCCGGAGUCGCUGAAGCCGGAGAAUCCGAGAUAACGCGGUGUGUAGCUGGAUGAACACAGCAGGUCAAGCUGUAUCAGAGGAGCAGGAAAGCUGGCGUUUCGGGCCUAGAUCCUUCGCUGAGACCAAGAUUUGUACAAUUGAGAUACCAGCAAUCGUCGCCAAAGCCCUGUUGCCUGUGGAGAAGGUUAACUUUCGUGUCCUGCUGCAGUUUGUAUGACGAAGGUGCUCCCACAAUGCGGCCAUUUGAGAAGUUAUAGAUCAUUCAUCUAGCAAUACUGGAGAGCUAAUGGUGUAUGUCCAAAUCAACAAACAAUUUGUAUUUUUAUCAUUUCACAAAAAUAUUAUCAAGAAACUUUUGACGUAAGCCCAUAUUAGGUCAGGUGACCAAAAAGUAACUAAAUUUGCAGGUUUUUAUGACUAUCUUAAAGAAGGAAUGCAAACCUAAGAGGUUUAUCAUGGGAAUUCCAGACCAUGUUGCCUGGCAACUGUAGAAACAGCCUCCAAUAGUGAAGCAAUGAUUAAACACACUUGAGUCUGAAACUAAAUGAGUUGUUGAAGUCUUGAAGGUUGUCUGGUGCAGGGAGAUAGGGCUCAUCACAGCCAGGAAUUAAAUCAAGGGUGGGACUUUUAAAUUGUUGCUUUAUAAAUAGGAGCCUUUGUGGGUCAGGGAGCACAGCAGUGAUGGGUGAACAGGUCUUGGUACAAAUGAACUUGUGUGCAGCAGAAUUUUAGGUAUUCUUGAGGUUACAAGGACAUUGAAUGUGGGAGGCCGACUGGCAGUGAGUUUGGAUAGUUAAGUCUAGAGGUAACACAGGAAUAGAUGAGAGGUUCAGCGGAUGAGCUGAAACUAAGGUGUCACUGUCGGGUCAUUGUCACUGAAGUGGAAGUAAGUGGUUUUGGUGCAGGACUCUGCAGUUACCCUCACCUCACCUCAGGAUUCAGCUGUUUGUGAAUUUGUGGAUCAAGUCUGUAAUAAGAUCAGGAACCGAGUGCUCGCCAUGACUCAAACUGGGUGUCACUGAGCAGGUUACUGCUGAGUAAGUGUUGCUUAAUAGCACUGUUGACAACACCUUCCAUCACUUUACUGAUGAUAAGAGAGUAGACUGCUUGAGGGGAAAUUGGUCGGGUUGGAUUUGCUGUGUUUUUGUGCUGAACGGACCUGGGCAGUUUUCCAAAUUGUCAAUAGAUGCCAGCGCUGUAGCAGGACUGAAACAGUUUGGCUUGGCGCUAGCAAGCUCUAGAGCACUAGUCAUCGGUACCAUUGCCAGAGUGUUGCCAGGGUCUGUAACCUUUCAUUCACUUAUUAAUAUUGUUUGAAAUGAAUCAAAUUGGAUGAAAACUCACAUCUGAUGUCGGGGACCUCUGGAGAAGGUGAGAUGGAUCAUCCAAUUGGCAUUUUUGGCUGAAAUUUGCUGCAGUCUUAUCUUUUGCGUGGAUAGGUUGGGCUCCUCUGUCUGUAAGGAUGAGGAUUUUUGGCAUGCUUCCUCCAGUGAGUUGCUUAAUUGUCCAUCACCAUUCUCAACUGGGUGUGGCAGAACUGCAGAGCUUACAUUUCAUCUAUUGGUUAGGGGUGGCUCAGCUCUAACUCUUGCUGCUUAUGCUAUUUGGCAUGCAGAUAGUCCUGUUUGGUAGUUUUGAGGUUGGCACCUUAUUUUAAGGUAUGCCUGGUGCUGCUCUUGGCAUGCCCUCCGAUACUAUCCGUUCAACCAGUGUUGAUCCCUUGGAUCAAUGCUAAUGGUUGUCUGUAGGAUAUGCCAAGCCACGAGGUUACAGACUGUGCUGGAUUAAGUUCUGCUGUUGAUGUCCCACAAAGCCUCAUAGAUAUCUGGUUUUGAGUUCCUGUGUCUGUUCCAAGUCUGUCUCUUUCAGCUGAAGUUCGUGCCACCCAACGCAAUGGUGGGUAUUGUAUCAGUGAUAAUGGGAACUGCAGAUGCUGGAGAAUCCAAGAUACAGUCAACCGCAUUGCUGUGGGUUUGGAGUCACAUGUAUUGCAGACCAGGUAAGGAUGGCAGAUUUCCUUCCCAAAAGGAUGCAAAUGAACCAGAUGAGUCUUCCCUGAUAAUCAGCAAUGGUUUCAUGGUCAUCAUUAGACUCGUUAAUUCCAGAUAAUUACUUAAUUCAGGUUUCGCCAUCUGCCAUGGCAGCAUUCGAACCCAGGUCCGCAGAAUGCUAUCUGGGUCUCUGGAUUAAUAAUCUAGCAAUAAUAAUGCUGCCAAUUUAUCAACCGAGGAAGGAUGAUACAUGGUAACCAGCAGGAGCCAUGAGACUUCCAGGCGUCGAUGUCGAGUACUCUCAGGACAAAUAAUCCAGUCAGAAUAGCACUGUGUUGCCACGUCUGCCGGGUCUGUCCUGCUCGUGGGACAGGCCUUCACUGAGGACAGUGGUGAUGUGUCGUUGUCUGUAAGGUUAGUUUCCAUGAGUCUGAUGCUGUUUCUUGUCUAGACUUUGAGUCACCUCUCCAAGUUUUGCUGCUCGCCCCAGAUAUGAGUAAAGAGGAGUUUGUGUGGUCGAUAGGACUAAUUCUGCAGGUGUCUUUCCUCGUGCUUUGGUAGAUGCCAAGUGGGCCACCCAGCUUCAUACCUUUGUUGAGAUUUUGCAACUGAGUGGCUUGGUUGGCAAAUUUCUUUCCCUGAAGGACAUUAGAUUUUUUUGUUUUUGUUUUCUGCCAUUAGCAAUGGUUCCAUGGCAACCAGCUGAUACUAAAUUCCAGUCUUUUUUAAAUUGAAUUCAAAUUCCACCAUUUGCUGCGAUGGGAUUCGACCCAGACUUCUGUUGUACAUUUUAAUAUUUUAGAUAAAAGUUAAUAUCACCAAUGCAGGCUUUUUUUCGUUGCAAAACGCUGUCCAUCAUCCUGUCUCCUCCAUCCUCCCCUGCAACAGCAAGUGAGGGAGACACAUGGAGUUUCUAUGCCACUAAGAUUGAGACAAUCCAAUCAACUGCCUCUGCUGCUUCCCUCUCUUCCACGAGCCCACCAAACCAAAUUGCCUGGCACGUUGCUCCUCGUUUUAGGCUUAAACUUGCUUCUUUGUCCAGUCCCAUGUCAAGCCUUAUCAGAACUUAUCCUAACCCUUUUCCCUAUUCUCUUAAACUCCAAAUAUUCGCGCUCUCGCUCUUUCCCCCACCCAUGCCAAUUCGCAGAUAUUGUUACUUGUUCUGUCUGCUUCUCUUUUCUGGUUAUGUCCUUCUCACCCAUUCUGUUUAAAACCAAUGUUUGACCUCACCGUCAUUGGAAAAUCCCACUCCAUCUCCACUCCUGCCUGAAAUCAAUGUCGUCGUUGUCCCUCAAGGGUCUAUCCUUGGUCCAUCCUGUUUCUCACCGACAUACUGCCAGGAGGCGAGGUCUUCCACAAGCACUGUCAGGUUUUGCAUGUAUUCUACAAUGUUCAGAUCUCACUCCCCCCUCAUCACUCUCCUUUGCUCCACUGGUACUCAAUUAUAAAACUGCUUAUCAUACUUCCACUACUUGAUUAGCUGAAAUUUCCUCCAAUAACACUUUGUGAUAGUUAAACAUGUUCCUGUCAGUUAUUAUUACAAAUUACUUUUCCUUACUACUGUACUGAAUCCAUCCCUCUCGCUGGGAACUGUCUGAGGUUGAACUGCACUCUUCUCAAUAAUGUUCUCACAUCUGGCCUCAUGAUGAACACCCUAACAUACAUCUUCUCAAUCACAUGUCAGAAAUUUCAAUCUCUAAAAUGCUCCUCCUCUCCACCUCACUCCAGCUCAUUUGUGACCGAAACCCCUUACCCAUGUCUGUGUUGCCUUAAACUUGACGAUUCCAAAAGAGAACCCUCUAUUGUCUGCCUGAUCAGGAAUCUGCUCCCACGAUGGGAAAUAUCCCUUCAGCAUUUAUCCUGUAAACCCACUUAAGAAUCCUAUAUUUUUAAUUAGCUCGUCUCUCCAUCUUCAAUUAUCUAAAUAAUAGAUUCCAGGCCUGUUCAGUCUUAGCUUAAAUGAUAGUCCCUCCAAACCAGUGAUCGUGCUAGUCCAUCUUCUCUGAAAUGCCUCCAGUGAAGUGAUAUACUUGCUCGAAUAAGUGGACCAAAAAAGCUGCUCGCGUUCCUCCAGAUGUUGUCUUGCCAGCAAUUUGUACAUUUGCCCUAAGACAUGUAUUCCAAACUCUUAUACUGCAAACACCUUGACAUAAGGGCUAACAUCCCAUUACCCUCCCGGAUUACCUGUUGCAACUGUGUGCUCGCUUUGUGUUUCCUGCACAAUUAUUCCUGAGUCCCGUUGUGUUACAGUUUUCCACAGAUUUUACCUUUUAAGCAACACUGUAUUCUUUGGUUGUCUCCUGAAAUGAACAACUUCACAUUUUCCCACAGUUGUACUCCAUUUGCCAACUUGUCGCCCAUUUAUCUGUCUCUCCAUAAACCGUAACCCUCAUGGAACUUGACUGUUAUCCCCUUUUUUUUGAGAUCCUCCCUCAUUCUUUUUGUUGGGAGCACUGGGCAACAUGGCGCAUAUGUAAUUGCUAUCUUUUUAAGGGACAUUCUUUUGAAUGACCAGAAGCUUACUGUCCAUUGCUCAGAAUCGAGACAACUUGUCCAUCAAGCUGCAUCAGCUUUUCCAGCCCAUUGUCUCAUUGUGGCACUGCAGCAGCACAGAAGGAAAGAAUAGGAAGCGAAUCCAGCUGUCUGCAUCUCACUAACUCUCAGGAAUUCUUUGCCAUGUGUCAAAAACCUGCUGAUUUGUUUAGUGACAUGAAGUCCCAAGGUGGAAAUUCCUAGAAACCCCAAUACAUUUCCCCCUGAAUCAACUGCUGACCCCCACAAGGGAUAAUGUGUAGCAGGAACAAUGCACAGUUAUCCUCGGCCAGGAGGAGGGGAUGGUGUGAAUUUCUAACCGGACUGACUGAUGGAUUUUAUGAAUUUGUGUUACAGGAUAUUACAAGUGGACUUUCAGGUGGGAAGCUCAAUAAUUGUAACACCAAACUCUGACAGAAUUACUCAAUUCAUCAGGACCUGGAUAUUCGCAUUAUAUGAGUAUUGUGUUCCUGCUCAUCUCCCAUUUGCCACGUAAAAUUUCUCUUUUAAAUCACCCCAUCUCUCGAUAGAUCGUCCCGUAAACUUUCAAUAUAUGUCCUGUAAUCAUUUGUCUGGUCAGUUGAUGAGUGGGUGUACGUUUUAUCAUUGUAAUGUAUAUCUUUUGUAAACAUCUGUCAAAGGUCCCCUCAAAACCGUUUGUUACAAGGAGAAUAAUCUGUUUCCCCAAACACCUGAUUCCCCAAUGACUGACUUUGUUUGCUGUCGAUAAGGAACUCAUCCAUGAAUGGAUGUUGAAACAUUUUCCACUUCCCUGCAUCAGUGCAGCCCUGACAAUAUGAAAGAAAGUGAACAUCCUCCAGAUGAAGCACUGUGUCAGAGUGGUGUCCCAUCCACCACAUUCAACAUUCCCCUCUACACCACUGAGGCACAGUGGCAUCACUGUGUCAAAGGUAAUGUCACCGUAGUCCUACUUGACCAUAGGGCUGGUUUAACCUGAAGAUUACCACACCCCAGGCAAGGGGAGAGGUUGAGAAGGAGAGUUCAUCUAUUGUAGAUGGAUAUUCUCAAUAAGUACCAGCAACACCCAAGUCACAUGAAAGAAUAAUGUAAAACAAAAACAGCCCUAACCAUGCAACUAAAAACCCUCUUCCUACAAACCAUUCUGUUAAAUCUCCUCUGCCCCCUAUCAGGGACCCUCCCGUCCUUCACAGUGUGUGGGGGAUCCUUGGUUUGCACAGACUCAGUUCGUCUCUGUUCCUGUCUGUGAUGUCAUCAUGCUGUGACAAUGGCACUGAACCUCACUCUCUCUGAGGGUGGUAGGCACAGAGAUCCUCAUAGCGUUUAAGGCAUAUUUAGAUGCCCACUUGUGAUGCCAAUGCAGACAAGUCUAUGGGCCAAGUGCUGGAAAAUUAGAUUAGAGUAGUUAGGUAAUGGUUUUUUUUUAACUGGCACAGGCUGAAUGGGCCACAGAGCCUCUUUCUGUACUGUAGACCUCUGGGACACUUCACAUAGGAAGAUGCCCAGCAAUAUUUCAAGCCAUUUCAGAAAAUAAGAUAUUAGAAUGAAUGACUCAUGAUUGCUCAGUGUUUUCUGGAGAAAAGUGAGGUACAAAGAUGAAGUGGUUUACCAGGAAUUUCUGGAGCUUGAAUCCCAGGAAAUUGCAAGUGCCACCAUCAAGUGGAGGAAUAAAAAUGGGGCAUCAUCAUUAGGACUGUAUGAGAGGAAGGGACAUAUUGAGAUUUGUGAGACUGGAAGGGUUCUGAGACUGGAGAAGAUUUCAAAUGUCCGGAAAAGUGAGGUCGGAGGAGGUUACAGAAAUGGUGAGGAUUGUGAGGCUGGACUAGAUGUCAAACAAAGGGAGCUUUGUGAGGGUAAAGACAAUUAGAGCUGAGGAAGUUUAUAUGGGCUGGAGGAAUUUAGAGAGACAGGAGGGUGUUGAACAAAGAACGAAGAAAAUUACAGAACAGGAACAGGCCCUUCGGCCCUGUAAGCCUGUGCCAAUCCAGAUCCUCUGUCCAGACCUGUCACCUAUUUUCCAAUGAUCUGUAUCCCUCUGCUCCCUGCCCAUUCAUGUAUCUGUCUAGAUACAUCUUAAAUGAUGCUAUCGUGCCCACCUCUACCACCUCCGCUGGCAGUGCGUUCCAGGCACACUCCACCUGCUGUGUAAAGAAUUUACCACACAUAUCCCCCUUAAUCUUUCCCCUCUCACCUUGAAAUCUGGAGGAGAUUAGAGGUGAGGUUUGUGAGACUGGAGGAAUCUACAGAGAUGGUGAGAAUUCAGAGGCUAGAGAGGGAUUCCAACGAUAGGCAGGUCGUGAGGCUGGAGAGGGAUUCCAGCAAUGUGGAGGGUGGUGAGGCUCGAGGUGAUGGCUGCAAUAGUGCAAGUCGUGAGGCUUGAGGGUCAUUCUCAUGAUAGGGAGGGUAGUGAGGUUUGAGGUAUGAUUCCUGUGAUAGAAAGGGUGGUGAGGCUUCAGGGCAGAUUAUCGUCUAAACAGCGCAGAGGUGUACUUACAGCACGUGGAGUGCAGCAGUCGCAGGAAGUGGUUCACCAUCACUUUCUCCAAAUCAAAUAAAAAUGGGCAAUCAAUAUUAGUGGUCUUUGCCCAGAUAUCCCAUAAGUAAAUUAAAAUUAUGAUGGGUUUCUGGUUUGGAGAGAGCUAGACGAAGCUGAGAUAAUUCUCCUUGGGGCUAAUUAGCAAUGAUUUUGUCGAGUUGUAGAUUUGUUUCCAGGAUAUUAGUUUGCAGAGAGAGAAAAAUUAUUAACCAUGUCAACGUUGGUAACCGCAGAAUACAACACUCAGAUAAUUGGCAAAUAAUGCAGGGUGAAAAUGUGAAGAUUACUUGACUCAGCAAGUUCCCAGGACCUGGAACAGUCUGAAUGGCAGCUGGAUGCAGAUUUAGCAGUUCUGAUCAAAAGAGAGUUGGGAUUAACUUUUUAAGGCAUGAUCAAGAGAGCGUUGGACAAAUGGCAAGGGAAUUGGGUCAGAUUUGCAUCACCUCUAGAAUGAGAGUGAAGCCUUUGACAGGGUUCCACAUGCUAGACUGAUGAGGAAAGUGAGAUCACAUGUGAUUCAGGAAGAGCUUGCUAAUUGGAAGCAGAAUUGGCUGAGUUGUAGGAGAGACCGUGGUGCUGGAGGAUUUUUCAGAGUGGAGUUCUGUAACCAGCGUGUUCCACAGCAAUCGGUACAGGGUCAACUUCUUUGUUUCUCGUUAACAUAAAUGAUUUGGAAGAGAAUUUAAGGGACAAAAUUAAUAAGUUUGCAGAUGAUGCUAGAAAUGGUGUUUAUAGUGGUUAGUGAAGGUUAUCUAAGAUGACAGCAAGAUCUUGAUCAAUUGGCUCAAUGGGUUGAGGAGUGGAGGAUGAAGUUCAAUUUGAAUAAACGUGAGACAUUGUAUUUUGGUAAAAUGAACAAGUGUAGGACUUACACAGUUGAUGGUUGCACCCAGGGUAGUGUUGUGGAACAGAGAAAUGCGGAGAUUCAGGUACAUACUACUUUGAAGUUUAUGGAGACCGGUAGACAGGCUGGUUAAUAAGUUGUUUCGCACACUUGCCUUCAUUGCUCAACCUUUGGAGUCUCGGAGUUUGGAUGUUAUGUUGAGAUUGUACAGGACAUGGUGAAGCUUCAUUUGAGGUAUUGUGUGCAGUUCUGGUCACCCUGUUACAGGAAAGAUGUUAUUAUUAAACUGGAGACAGGUCAGGAAAGAUUUGCUGGGAUGUUGCCAGGAAUGAUGGGCUUGAUUAUUAAAAUAGACUGCCAAAGCUAGGACUUUUCUCACUGGAGCAUAGGAGGUUAAGGGGUGACCUUACAGAGGCUUAUAAAAUCAUGAGGGCACAUAUUAUGUUGCUAUUAAGGGCUUUUUUCCCUAGGGUUGGGCGAUUUCAAGACAAGGGGACACGUGUAAGAUGAGAGGAGAAAGACAUAUUUAAAAAAAGACAAGAGGCUGAGAUAGUAAAUAAGUGUUUCACAUGAGUAUUUAAUGCAGAGAAGGAUAUGGAAGCUAGAGAGCUUGGAGACAUAAAUAAUGAGUUGUGAAAAGUGUCCAUAUUACAGUGGUUUAGGUGCUGUACAUCUUAAACUGCAUAAAGGUGGAUAGGUCCCUGGCACCUGAUCAGGUGUUACCCACAAACAGAGGGUGGUGAGGCUUCAGGGCAUUUCCCUUUUGCUGUCCUGGAACAUGUACUACCGCUGGGUCCCUUGCUGAGAUAUUUGCAUCACUGAUAGACACUGGUGAAGUGCCAGAAGGCCGGGUGGCUAAUGUGGUGCCAUUCUUUAAGGAAAAGCCGGAGGACCAUCGACCGUUGAGACUGAUGUCAGUGUUGGGUAAGUUGCUGGAGGGGAUUCUGAGGGACUGGAUUUGCAUGUGUUUAGAGAAGCAAAGACUCAUUAGGGAUAGUCAACAUGGCUUUGAGAGUGGGGAAUCUUGUCUCACUAACUUGACUGAGUUUUUUGAAGAAGGCAAAGCAGUGGACAUUGUCUAUAUGGACUUCAGCAAGGCAUUCACCAAAGCUCCACAUGACAGACUGUUAAGCAAGAUUAGAUCAAAUGGAAUCCAGGGAGAGUUAGUUAUUUGAAACAAAAUUGGCUUGAAGGUAGGAUACAAGAUCAUGGGUGGGGGGUGGGUGUCUAUUUUUUCAGUCUGGAGGACUAUGAACAGCAGUGUGCUGCAAGGAUCGGUGCUGGGUCCACUGCUUUUUGUCGUUGAUACAAAUCAUGUGGAAUGAAUAUUAGAGGAAUGGUUAGUAAGUGUGCAGAUGACACAAAUUGUUGGUGUAGUAAACAGCAAAGAAGUUUGCCUCCAAGUACAAUGGGAACUUAAUCAGAUGGGUCGAUGGGCCGAGGAGUGCUAGAAAUCAGUUUAGUUUGGAUAAAUGCGAGAUAUUGCAUUAUGGUAUUGAAAAUCAGGGCAGGGCUGAAACAGUUACUGAUGAUGCCCUGGGGACUGUUACACAACAGAGACUCCUUGGGGUGCAGGUGCACAGUUCCUUGAAGGUGGAUUGUCGGUACAGAAGGUAGUGAAGAUGAUAUUUGCUAUGCUGCAUUUAUUGGUCAGUGCAUUGAGUGUAGGAGUUGGGAGGUCAUGUUAUAGGCUGACUAAGGCAUUGAUUAUGCUGUGUUUGGAAUACUGUUCAGUUCUGGGCUCCCUGCUGUAGGAAUGAUGCUGUUAAACUUGGCAGGGUGCAGAAAAGAUUUACAAGGAUGUUGGAAGAGUUGGAAAUUUUGAGCUGUAGAGAGAGGCUGAAUACACUGGGGCUGUUUUCCCUGGAGCAUUGAAGGCUGAGAGGUGACCUUAUAGAAGUUAAUAAAAUUAUGGUGGGCAUAGGGUGAGUAGCCAGUUUAAGCUGAGAGGGAAAGUUAUUUUUUAAAAGGGAAGGUGGGUGGUGCCUGUGUAGAAUGACCUGCUAGAGGAACUGGUGGAAGCUGGGACAAUUAUGACAUUUUGAGAGGCAUCUGGAUGGGCAUGUGAAUAGGAAGGGUUUAGAGGAAUAUACGUCAAAUGCUUGCAAAUGGGAUUAGAUUAAUUUGGGAUAUCUGGUCAGCAUGGACAACUGGGACCAAAGGGAUUGUUUCGUGGUGUACAACUCUGACUAAGCAUUUUUUGUUUUCAUUUCAGAUUUCCACAAUUUUACUUCUGCACUGUUCUUAGUCUUUCGAUCCCUCUGAAAGACUGAGUUACAGAUCUAUACAAUGCCUGUCCUUCCUCCCUGGCUCUCCCACCUCUCUUUCAGGAGUUUUGUGCAAACACUGACUGGAUCCCUUACCUGGAGGAUAUUUAUUUAUGAAUUUGUUCUAAUGAUAAUCCAGCAUAUUCCCCAAGUGUCGCUCCACAAAUGUCCAGAGGAUUUCUCAGUUUCACAAUCUGUGUGUGUUCUUCUGGUUCCUCGCUCACUGCACUUGCUUUCUGUUUGAAAGCUUAGUCUACAGUUGGAGAAUUCAAACAGGAACACAUCCAGAUCUGACAGUCACUUUGUUUAUCACAACUCAAUUACCUCAGGAUUUUGAACACUGAAGGAAAAAGCAGUUCUCACAGUGGGGAGAAAUGCACAUGAUCUGUGAAGAUUCAUCUGAAAUGUCCUUACACCAGCUCAGUGACAUGGGGGAGAGACCAUUCACCUGCUCUAAAUGUGGGAAAGCAUUCACUCAGUCAUCCAAACUGUUAACACACCAGUGAGUUCACAAAGAAGCACAGUUGAAGGAUUUUGCUGUCACUCCAUCAAAUGAACCAUGGUUUUGGGCUGUUUGUACUGAUGUUACUGAUCCCUGUGCAAUUAAAGGUACUGGUAUUGUGGAUAAAAUGUUAAUAUCAGUUGUGUAUCUGUAAGGUAGAGCUUGGAAAUAGUCAAGUUGUCAUGACACAUCGACACAUUCACACUGACGAAAGACUAUCCACCCGCACGGUACGUGAAAAGGGAUUUCCUGGUUCAUCAGGACUGGUGAACUAGCAGCAAAUUUCUGAGUAACUGUGAAGUUGGUUUUUGAUUCUGCUGUUAGCUUAUACUAACCAUGUUUUUUGGGCUUGCUUCUGGAGACCAUAGGAUCCCUCUGGUGUGGAAGCAGACCAUUUAGCCCAUCAAGUCCACACUGAACUUAUGAAGAGUGUCUUACCCGUACCCUGCCUGCGUGGGUUUCCUCCAGGUGCUCUAGUUUCCUCCCACAGUCCAAAAAAUAUGCAAAUUGGGUAGAUUGACUAUGCUAAAUUGCCCAUAGUGUCACGUAUGCAAAAUGCAAGGACAGAGUAGGGUGUGAGACUGGGUGGGAUGCUCUUUGGAGGGUUCGUGUGGACUCAAUGGACUGAAUGGCCGUCUUCCACACUGUAGGAAUUCUAUGAUGAUCUCGAUGGCCCUUUAUUUGUUAGUUAUGCUUGGUCAACAUGUCUGCACACCUUUACCAUUACAGAUUCUAUUGCUCUCCACAGACAUGUUUCAAUUUUUAAUAGAUAUUUGUUUAUUGGAAACAAUGCAAUCUUUCCUUUUGUUUUUUAUCCACAAAAUGAAAGUUUUAAAUCGAAACAAAAGAUUGGGAUGAGUCCUGUACUAUAAUCCCUGAUUGGGAAAAUGCAAUCAGCUAUGAAACCUGGUGACCAUUGUGACUCUGUCCGGGGGAAAUGCAGUCUCCUCAGAUCCUUACCUGUUGUCCAUAGCAGUGAUGGAUCUCAUGAUGAAUACAUAUACACUAGAUAUCACACAAUGUCUUGGUUUAUUUUCUAUUUAUUCUUCUGUCCAUUACUCCACAGAGACUGAGAUAACGGUCUGGGGACCUAGGUUUGAAACCCACCAUUCCAGAUGGUAGAAUUUGAGUUUAAACAAAAAAAUCUGAAAUAAGAAUCUAAUGAUGACUGUAAAUCUGUUUUCAUUGUUGGAAAAACCUAUGUCUUUUAGGGAAGGAAACUGCCAUUCUUAUCCAGGGAUAUCAAGAUCCCAUGAAUGAAGUUUUAAAAAUUAAUUUAAAAAAAACUCCUGCAAAUA